AAUUUAUACAGUGAAACUGCGAAUGGCUCAUUAAAUCAGUUAUCGUUUAUUUGAUAGUUCCUUUACUACAUGGUAUAACUGUGGUAAUUCUAGAGCUAAUACAUGCUUAAAAUCUCGACCCUUUGGAAGAGAUGUAUUUAUUAGAUAAAAAAUCAAUGUCUUCGGACUCUUUGAUGAUUCAUAAUAACUUUUCGAAUCGCAUGGCCUUGUGCUGGCGAUGGUUCAUUCAAAUUUCUGCCCUAUCAACUUUCGAUGGUAGGAUAGUGGCCUACCAUGGUUUCAACGGGUAACGGGGAAUAAGGGUUCGAUUCCGGAGAGGGAGCCUGAGAAACGGCUACCACAUCCAAGGAAGGCAGCAGGCGCGCAAAUUACCCAAUCCUAAUUCAGGGAGGUAGUGACAAUAAAUAACGAUACAGGGCCCAUUCGGGUCUUGUAAUUGGAAUGAGUACAAUGUAAAUACCUUAACGAGGAACAAUUGGAGGGCAAGUCUGGUGCCAGCAGCCGCGGUAAUUCCAGCUCCAAUAGCGUAUAUUAAAGUUGUUGCAGUUAAAAAGCUCGUAGUUGAACUUUGGGCCCGGUUGGCCGGUCCGAUUUUUUCGUGUACUGGAUUUCCAACGGGGCCUUUCCUUCUGGCUAACCUUGAGUCCUUGUGGCUCUUGGCGAACCAGGACUUUUACUUUGAAAAAAUUAGAGUGUUCAAAGCAGGCGUAUUGCUCGAAUAUAUUAGCAUGGAAUAAUAGAAUAGGACGUUUGGUUCUAUUUUGUUGGUUUCUAGGACCAUCGUAAUGAUUAAUAGGGACGGUCGGGGGCAUCAGUAUUCAAUUGUCAGAGGUGAAAUUCUUGGAUUUAUUGAAGACUAACUACUGCGAAAGCAUUUGCCAAGGACGUUUUCAUUAAUCAAGAACGAAAGUUAGGGGAUCGAAGAUGAUCAGAUACCGUCGUAGUCUUAACCAUAAACUAUGCCGACUAGGGAUCGGGUGGUGUUUUUUUAAUGACCCACUCGGCACCUUACGAGAAAUCAAAGUCUUUGGGUCU
rnacentral:rRNA from 1 species